rnacentral:lncRNA from 1 species
AUAAUCCGGCGCAUUCAACUCAAUUACACAUGCGUUCCUAGUUUUGAUCUCAGCAUAUAGCACGACCUACUCUCUGUUCGGUAGUCUUCUAGCAUUGCCAGGCUUCCUCUCACCCCAUUGUACACGGCAUGUCUCUUUCAGAUAGCUUUUCCGAAAGAGCAUAUGGUCCAAAAUCUACUGCAACCGGCUUCCCCGUUGUCUAGGGGUAUCCCAAAUAGGGAUAACGUCCAGCUUAACAGCCUGGGACGAUUUCUCUUAACCAUCACACGAUUACUCAAAUAUGACCCAAGGCACCAUGCAUUGUACUUAAAUGCUUCAAUUAAAAUGGUGAAUCUUACAUUUUUCUUCGUAUUAGAAAUAUAUUGUAAAUUAGUUGUGUGUAGGUACACGAUCAACUCAACCCAGAAAAAUUGACAUUCUUCCUUUUUAAAAUCCCACUAUUUUAUAUAGUACCUAAAACUAUUUUCGGUGUCAAAAUCUGACACCUGGGAUUUUCUGGAUAAAUAUUGGAAAUUCACAAUUUUUGGAAUUAAAUACCAAAAAUAAAUCAGCACUCAAUUUGCAUAAUUUAACACUCAAUUGCAGAAUUUAACCACACCAUUAAAAUCAGCACGAAAUUCCGGUCACCAGCUAUCCCGGCCUAAUUUCUGAAAAAAUAAUUAAUAAUUAAAUAAUUUCUAAAAUUAAUUAAAUAACUCAAUUUAAUUUCCAAAAAUAUUAUAUUAGGCUAAAAUCACUAAAUUAAAUACCGUUAUGGACCCGAAAAAUUCCCGAAUUCUUCUAGAUAAAUAGUACAAAUUAUCUAGGCCUCACUUAAUCUAAUCUAACCACCUAACAUGCAUAAUUACAUAAUUAAAUCACUAAAUUAAUCUAACUAACCAACUAAUUCCUAAUUAAAUUAAACUAAACACCCAUUAAACAUGAUUAGCCUACUAAGAAGAGUUUAGUGCAUAAACUCACCGGUUUAUUACGAAAACCAGUUCACCACGACGACGGCGCGACGGCGGCUGAAAUCCGAAUUUUCGGCGGUGUCAGCGGACUUGGACCAGGCCUAAACUUGGCCUAACAAAUCUCAGCCCAAGCUGAGAUUUGUUCUUGAGUUGGGCUGGGCCUGAAGUUGGCUGAACGGGCUUUGAAUUUUCAUGGGCUUUGCUGGCUUCUUGGGCUGACUUCAAGUGAGCUGGAAUUGGGCCUCAAAAACUGGGCUGCUGCACUUGUGGGCUGGGUUGAGCCCAAAUGAUGGGCUGAGGAGCGGCUGAUUUCACGCGGCUGCUGGGCCUGCUUUGCUGAUCUCGUGGAAGAUGGACGAACAGCAGUCAAGCUUGGUGAGGGGAAACGCCGUUUGAUGGCUCGACGGCCAAGUGGCAGCGAAGUGGAGCUGCUCGGUCAACCAAGGAGCUUCUGUGGGCUUGCUGUUGACCAGGCGUGGCUGAAUGAAGACACAUAAAUGGCAGCUGCAGGCAGCGGAGAGAGAGAGAGAGACGGAUUCGGUGGUGAUGGCAGCUUCGGACGUGGGGUGAUGGGGCGGACGACGAAGCAACACCGAAGAAGGGAAAUGAUGGGGUCAACAAUUUGCUUCUGUGAGUGGCGUUGUUGACCACGGAAGGCCAGCUCGUGGACAAAUGGCGUGGGCGAGUGAAGAUGGAGGGUUGUUGCGGUGGAAGGAAAUGAAAAAAUAAUGAAAGGAACGGCAGAAGCUGAGAGAGAAGAGUUCGGUCUGCUUGGUGAGAGAGAGAGAGUGAUUCCGUUCCUUUGUUGUGAGGGAGAGAGCUCGAAGCAAAAAAGGGAG